CCGCUCUAAUUUUAUUCAACUCGUCCAUUUUAUUUUGCUGCAGAUUUUCCUCUUUCCUUUUAUUGAGAAUUUUUAUGUGAUUUUCUUCAAUAACAAUUUUCUGUUUUCUAUAAUUUUUAAUCAUUUUAGGAGCAUUUUCCCGAGCUAUUUUGAAAACUUCUGUCUUUUUAUCAGGAUUUAAACUGUACAACCAUUGUAAAGUUUUAUUGUUAGUAAAUAAAAUCAUUC
rnacentral:lncRNA from 1 species